AAAAAAAGAAAGAAAAAAAGAAAAAAAAAAGAAAAAGAAAAAGAAAAGUUAAGUCUAUUAGAAUGUAGUCACAUAAGCAGUACUGUAAUUCCAGCACCAGGGAUGCAGAGGUAGGAGGAGUUAGGGUUUCCACAGCUACAUAGCAAGUUGAAGGCCAGUCUAUGCUAUAUGAUACCCUGUCUUGAAAUACCAAAAAUAAAAACUAAGGAUCUGGGUAUAGUGAUACUCACCUGUAAUCUCAGAAUUUGGGAAGUUCAAGAUUAUCCUGGGAUACAUAGUGGUUUUUUGUUUUUUGUUUGUUUGUUUGUUUGUUUAUUUUGUGACUGGACUGAGCAACAUGAAAUACUGUCUGAAAAAGAUCUAAGUUGACUCAGUGCUUAAGACUGAAUACUGCUUUUGCAGCAUAAAGUUCAGUUCACAGCACCCACAUGGGAUGCUCAUAACUGCCUGCAACUCCAGCUUCAUAGACUAGAAUUAAAAAAAAUAAAGCUUUAAAAACAUCCAAUAAGACAAAAACAACAACCCCUCCAAAAGUAUAAUCUUCUUAUAUGAACAAGAAGAUUAAGGAUAAGAGGAUGCUAUUUAUAGUGGUAAUUUAGUGUGAUUUCAUCCUCUGUAUUAGACAGAAGCUGGGCACAUGUGUGACAGACCACAGCAUGUUUAUGUCUGUAUUGGUGAAUCCUGAUGAUGCUCCGGUUAAAUGACUAAAGUGUUCCAUAUAAAUUAUAAAAUUCUUAUACAUUGUAUUUCUUGAGCCACUGUGGACUAUUCUCUGCCUUGUUUAGAUACCUCAUGAUGGAAUCAGGAGCCUUGCUUUUGAAAGUCUGUAGUUCCUGCUAGUCUUGUCAAGUCUUGUCAAGCUAACAUAGAUAACCUCUGCCCCUGUUUGAUCUUCGCAUUUGUAAUGGAUAAAUAAUUGAUCAGCAUAAGGAUUCUGGCAAUAUAUUUAGCUUCUGCUCAGCACUAUCCUAUUUUUAAAUGUCCUCAGGCAUUGACUCAGAAUGUUCAUCCAAAGGCUGUCAGCUGUAAACGGAGACUGUGAGAAGUGACAGGUCUGCUUUAGGAUUACGUGGCAUGAAACGCCAUGACAGCUGUCAGUUUCACUGCUGCCUAAAGAACUGGUCUGUCUGCCUUGUGCUUUAUUAAAUUCCUAUAAACACGUCUCUCAUAGAACCAGGAUCUUUUUGAAGGCAGAAUCUUUCCAAUCCCAACAGAAUCCAACUAGAAACAGAAACUUCAAAAAUAAGUCAAAGAAAAAAUAUAAUUAAGGUGUUUAUAUUUUUGUUGUGGGGCACCAGAGUUCAAAUCCUCAGGACCCACAUAAAGCCAGAGGUGGUAGUGCCCACUUGUAAUCCUAUAGGAAGAUGGGAGCCCGAGACAGAAGAAUCCCCAGUGGCCACGGUGCACACAAUAGUGAAUAACAAAAGAGAUCCUGUCUCAAACCAAUGUGGACAGUGAAGACCAACACCAGAGGUUGCUCGUUGACUGACCUCCACAUGUGCACAUGGGCACAGGUGGCCAAGUGCUUACACACAAACAUGUGCACACCAGCGUAUGCCAUACCUACACAUAUAUGUAAGACAAACAAUACAUACACACAUAUAUACAUACACAAGAUUUUCCUGUGACCUGGGUGUAGAGAUGCAUUGUCUGUAAUCCCAAUAUUUUGAAGGUGGGAGCAAGAAUAUCAAAGUCAGGGUUACCCAAGGCUAUAUAAUGAGUUCAAAGUCAGCUUGGGUUACAUGAGACCUUACAAUCCUCCCCCCCAAAAUAAAUAAAAUUAUAUUAAAACACCAAAAAUAAAAUUUAACAUGCUAAUAUAACAUAAAUAUAAGGUAAUAUAAAAUUAAUAUCAUGUAAGUAUACAACUCAGCAUUAACUAUUGGAACAGCAUUACAUAGCCACUCUUUGGAAUUUACCUUGCAUAAUUAAGACUUCAUACCUAUUAAUCAGUAACUUCGUUUUCUUCACUUACACCCAGCCAUUGACAGCCACCAUUCCACUCCUUAGAUACCUCACCUCGUCUCAUUAGUCACUUGCUGAUUGCUGUGACACGCGACAAAGAAAACAUAAGGAAGUGUGUAUCCAGGCUUAUGGUUCCAGAAUACAGCCCAUCAUGGCAGAGAAGGAGUGGCUUGAGGGAACUCGUCACACAGUCAGGCAGCAGAGAGAAACGAAUGUUGGCCCUUGGUGCUGUUUGCCCUCUUUAUUCAGUUCAGGACCCAGCCCAUGAAAGUGCCACCCAAAUUCAUGGUGGGUCUUCACACUUCAAUAGCCAGAAUCUAGGUAAGACCUGCUGAUAUUUCUAGAGGCCAGAAAAGCAUGCCUUAAUUUCAAUCAAAGAUCAGCUGGUUGUCCCCAUAGCCUCCAUGUCACUAUGUCCCCUAGUAGGCUCAUCUUGCCUGGCACAUUGGGAUUAGCAUUCACUAUUUACGACUGGAUAGUAGCUUUGAUGACUACCCCUUCCCCCAGUCGUCUCCAUAGUCUCUUCCAACACUGUGAAAACUGACCAGCUGGGAGGAAGUUUGCAGGUCAGGUCCUGCUUGUUUGUCUGUGUCCUGCAUCUUCACACCCUCAUCUUCAACAAGGUGCAUUACAUCUUCAGCAGCAGGCUCUCACUGUAUAGAUCUGGUGCACAACCGCAAGCAACAGCGAUCAUCAACAGUCUGUGUUGUUUUGGGUGCAUCUGCUCCCUCCUCAACCAAUGGCUCAUAGAGGCGUCUCACAGCCUGGCACUGACAUCUUCAGUCGACAGCACGCGUCUUCUGAGAACUUUGUAGCAUUCAGGUUUCUACAUAAAGGCACCCAUUGCACAAUGAUCCUUCAAUGACGACCUGCACACACAGUGUGGCCUGGAUGUGGGCAAAUCUGUACCAUCCAGGUCUGUGUGGGCCCUCUGCUACAGCAGCACAGCAGAAGCUGAAGAUGGGAUCUCUCUGCUUCACUCCAGCCAUCUGCUGCCAUGCCUCCCCUGCCGCUGUGGACCCCACUCUGGAACCAUAAGCCAAAAUAAACUAUUUCUUCCAUA